CCCAAACUCGAAGGAGUUUCA
rnacentral:miRNA from 1 species